rnacentral:rRNA from 1 species
GGUAGCCAUGAUUUUACUUUGAGGAAAUCAGAGUGUUUCAAGCAAGCAUGCGCCUUGAAUACAUUAGCAUGGAAUAUUUUUAUAGGGCCGUUGUUCUAUUUUGUUGGUUUCUAGAAUAAUGGUAAUGGUUGACAGGGAUAGUUGGGGGUAUUUGUAUUUAACUGUCAGAGGUGAAAUUCUUGGAUUUGUUAAAGACACACUACUGCGAAAGCAUUUGCCAAGGAUGUUUUCAUUGAUCAAGAACGAAGGAAGGGGGAUCGAAAACGAUCAGAUACCGUUGUAGUCUCUUCUGUAAACUAUGCCAAUUGGGGAUUAGCUCAGGAUUUUUAAUGACUGAGUUAGCACCCGAAGAGAAAUCUUUAAAUGAGGUUCGGGGGGGAGUAUGGUCGCAAGGCUGAAACUUAAAAGAAUUGACGGAAGGGCACCACCA